rnacentral:tRNA from 1 species
GGAGAGGUGCCGGAGCGGUCGAACGGAGCUCACUGCUAAUGAGCUGACUUGCCAAAAGCGGGUCCCAGGGUUCAAAUCCCUGCCUCUCCG